rnacentral:lncRNA from 1 species
AGCCUGGCCAACAGGGCGAAACUCCGACACUACUGGCUUGGUCUGCAAAUGGAGAGCUCCCUCAAGAGUGCCCUUUCCAGAGAGAAGCCCUCACCUCUGCCCUGUGUGAUGUCUCAGAAGCCACUACCAGAUAGCCACGGUUUCUGCAGUCAAAGACGUGCUGGAGGGGACAGAGAAUCCAAACACCAGGGGAGCAAGAGUAGAGUUGGUUUCAUUCACCCCGGGCUCUCCAAGCAUAGCAAACGCUCUGGAAGCACGUGAUGAGUGGCUGGGUGACGAAGAGCUACGACCCGAGACAUGGUACCCACAUGGGUACCCACCCUAUGGGUAGACACGAGCCUGGUGUCAGGAGGAACUGGGUUUGAAUCCUUCAACAACUGUGUGGCCUUUCCUCUCUCUGAGCGUCGAUGUCCUUAUUCGUAGAGUGGAUGAUCAUACCUUCCUUGCAGAGCCAUUGCACAGAUAGUGACAUAGGCACACACAAUACAGUCCUGGCUCACGCUCAGGAGACAGUGGCUGUCAAGUCAGGAGCCCGUCCUGCAGCAGCCUAGCCAUCUGGAAGGAUCACUCCUCGACAUGCCGUCAAUGCCUGGCACUUGGUAAGAAUGAGUUUCUCACAUUUCUCUGAAGGGAUGGGGUGGGGGGCAGGUAGAGAAGAAGGCUCUGGGCA